GGUGGUAAAUUCCAUCCAAUGUAACAAUAUAACAUUGAGUCUGAUAACAAACAAGUACCAUGAGGGAAAUAUGAAAAGGACUUUGGAAAGAGAAUUAAAAGAGUUUGCAUUUGCUUGGCAUAAAACAAAUUAAUGUUGUCAUGGCCAAAAAAUUGUUGCAUUCCUGGGUGUGUGCCAACAUUGCUCAGCAAGUGUAAUGCUUCUUUCCCCAACAAAGCUGUUGCAUUCAUGGAUCAUUCUUGUUUGGUGCUGGGAAUAUGUGUUGCAUAGUGGUGCUCUGUUUGCAUUUCUGAUUUCUUAUGUU
rnacentral:rRNA from 1 species